GCCUCCGCCCUCAGCCCCAGCUUGGGGCUGGACCCCAGCCUCCAGCCUCACCUCCUGCCGGCCUCUCUGCUUGCCCUCCCCGCCCCAGAGGGGGGGUGGGAGGCCUUGAGAUUGUCCCCGGUACCCCAAGGACGCCGAGGUUACGGGAAGUUUGGGGACUCGGGUCUUCCAGAAUGAGCCCAGUGUGGACGGGGAAACGUUGAAUACAGGGCACCCAGGAAUGGAAAAGACACCAAGGGAUGUAUCACCUCUGUAUCGAGCACCCAGGGGAACAGGCCCCAGUAUCCUGAGUUCUUCCAGGAGAAGGAAGAUGGCGAAGACAGUGAGGGAAGAGAGCAGACGUCUGACUCCGGGGUGCUUAUCUGUGUGGAAGAGACCGGUUCUUCCUGACUGGCUUCAUGUCCCUCAAGAUCCCAAAGAAGGCUAUGGCUAUUUCAAAGCCAGAGAAUAGGGGCAGAGACUCAGCAGCCUGCUCCUGGGUGCAAAGAGACAAGGCCAGGUGCAGCCUGUGCUCACAGUCUUGGAAGCUUGGUGGUGGUGGAGGUGUUCUCCUGGCUCUUCAAGUAUUUACCCGUCUGUGUGUGACUCAUAUCCAGGAACCCAGGCAGCUUCCCUCAAUAGAUUGCUGGCUUCAGAAGAUGAGCCUCCCCUGCCGCUCCACAAGGCUCAAGUGCUUCAAUGAAAUAAAAGAGAACUGAAAUAAAAGAGAAAUAAAAGA
rnacentral:lncRNA from 1 species